rnacentral:rRNA from 1 species
GAUGAACGCUGGCGGUAUGCUUAACACAUGCAAGUCGAACGGUCACUUCGGUGAUAGUGGCGGACAGGUGAGUAACGCGUGAGAAUCUGUCUUCAGGUCGGGGACAACAGUUAGAAAUGACUGCUAAUACCGGAUGUGCCUUUGGGUGAAAGAUUUAUUGCCUGAAAAAGAGCUCGCGUCAGAUUAGCUAGUAGGUGGUGUAAGAGACUACCUAGGCUCCGAUCUGUAGCUGGUCUGAGAGGACGAUCAGCCACACUGGAACUGAGACACGGUCCAGACUCCUACGGGAGGCAGCAGUGGGGAAUUUUCCGCAAUGGGCGAAAGCCUGACGGAGCAAUACCGCGUGAGGGACGAAGGCUUUUGGGUCGUAAACCUCUUUUCUCAAGGAAGAUGAUGACGGUACUUGAGGAAUAAGCAUCGGCUAACUCUGUG